AGCCAGACUCCUACGGGAGGCAGCAGUGGGGAAUAUUGCACAAUGGGGGAAACCCUGAUGCAGCGACGCCGCGUGAGCGAGGAAGUAUUUCGGUAUGUAAAGCUCUGUCAGCAGGGAAGAAGAAUGACGGUACCUGAAGAAGAAGCACCGGCUAAAUACGUGCCAGCAGCCGCGGUAAUACGUAUGGUGCAAGCGUUAUCCGGAUUUACUGGGUGUAAAGGGAGCGCAGGCGGCACGGCAAGCCUGAUGUGAAAGCCCGCGGCCCAACCGCGGGACUGCAUUGGGAACUACCGGGCUGGAGUGCCGGAGAGGUAGGCGGAAUUCCUAGUGUAGCGGUGAAAUGCGUAGAUAUUAGGAGGGACACCAGUGGCGAAGGCGGCCUGCUGGACGAUGACUGACGUUGAGGCUCGAAAGCGUGGGGAGCAAACAGGACUAGAUACCCCGGUA
rnacentral:rRNA from 1 species